UACGAAGGGGGCUAGCGUUGCUCGGAAUUACUGGGCGUAAAGGGCGCGUAGGCGGCCUUCUAAGUCAGACGUGAAAUCCCCGGGCUCAACCCGGGAACUGCGUCUGAUACUGGAGGGCUUGAAUCCGGGAGAGGGAUGUGGAAUUCCAGGUGUAGCGGUGAAAUGCGUAGAUAUCUGGAGGAACACCGGUGGCGAAGGCGGCAUCCUGGACCGGUAUUGACGCUGAGGCGCGAAAGCCAGGGGAGCAAACGGG
rnacentral:rRNA from 1 species